CCUUCCUGAAAUGGGCAAAGAGACCUUGUUAGUGCUGUUGUUCUUUUAUCAGUCAGGGGCAGAGCAGGUAGCCGUCCUUUGUUCAUCUUAGCUUGAUGUCUGGCUUGGUGACCAAUGCUGUUUUAGGCCCAGGACUCACAA